UUCCAAAGUCAGAUCCCUGCUGGAACAUUUCAGCCCGCCUGCCACGUCAGUUUGCUUCCACCAUCCUCCCUCCCUCGCUCCUCUCUCUCUCUCAUGCACUUUCUCCUUCUUUCGCUCCAUUCCGCCUCAGAGGACUGGUAGAAACUGAACGGUACCAGUUGGUUUUAGGUGUAGUCAGAGUUACUGGUUAAAGGUUUGUCUUUAGCUCUGGUCAGCGAUCGGCGGUAUCUUUUGAAGCUCUUUUCGUUUCGCUGGGAGAGAGAGGGGACAUCUUUGCCAAAGCCUGGGCUGCUCUGAGCGAACCAAUGGGCACUGACCUGCAGCCGGAGUGACCCCGCGGGCCUUCCCCCCCGCCCUCACCCCUCCUCACCUCCCCGCCUGCCCAGUGUUCAGACUACCUGUUCAUCAGGCUGCAGCUGAACAGUAGUCUGCACAUUGGUUAGGCUGGGCCGGGACACACACACACAGGACACAUCUAACCACCGGCCGGCAGGGGCUCUGGAUAGUGACUCUGCGGUCAGGAUGAACCAGUACUCCUUGGAGCCUCCUUUCAUGAUGCUGAUGUUGAUGGUGAGCCAGCCUUUACGGAUCACCUGUUAGGGGAGAGAUAAGGGUGGGGGGGUACAAGGUAUACCAGGAAGAUGGAGGGAAAACACAUUUGUCAUUAAAGUAUUAAUGAGUUUGCCUCCUGGAGAUAUUGUGAUAUGACUAAGUUAACUAAUAAAAAUAUUCCCUGGGUACUAAGUGUGAGUUUUGAUUUCUCCGGUCUUAGCAAUAUAAGCACUAAGAUGUUCUACUUACUCUAAAUAAACUAUUCUAUUCUGAGUAUAAAGAUUUACCACUAAAACAAUGUUUCUGAACCUAUAUCACUGAUGUAUAUAGUAAGCAUACAAAAGCAUCAUUCAGAAAGGAGAAUUAACUGGAGUUUUACACAUUUUAAAACAGGAAACCUCAAACUUAAUAACCUCAAAACAAACAAACAAAUAAAUAUGGGGGCAUCCAGACCAAAUGGGCCCCACAUGGGAUCAGGGAUCAAAGGUCGGCGGUGUUAUGUUAGGGUAAGCAGGGUCAGUAAAAGCUAGCCUAUACAAGGUUAGCCAAAAAGACUAGGGUUAGUGGGUUAACUGGGCAGAGGACUCGGACAUACACUCCAGUGUAGGGCCUGUAGGAGGCUAAAUACCUAUCUAAGGAACAGGAGAAAGGGACGGGAGAGGCAAGAGGAGGAGGGCGAGAGUGUGGGAGAGGAAUACAGCGAUAUGCAGAGACAGUGGAGACGGGUAGACUGAGCCACAGCUCACGGAGCGGACGGGUAGAGAGAGGGGGGAUGAAAAAAAUAAAAUGAGGAUUUAAAGAAGGGAGAGGGAGGAAAAAGAGAUGAGAGGCAGGGAUGAGAGGUUCUUUCUGUAGACAAGAGUUUAUUAGAGCAGAGGUCUUCAACCUUUUCAUGCCCAGGGACCCCCCUCGCAGACAAACCGGCAACCCAGGGACCCCCAUCAUACAUUAGCAAACAUUAUUUUCACGUCUUGUUUAUCAGGUGAAUGAUAAUGUCAAGAAGUAGUAAUGGUGAUGUCUAGGAGAAGUAAUAACAUUUUUAAAUGAAUAGAUUUGAUAAAUAGUUUUUCAUUAUUUUGACCUCCACACAUUAUAACUGGAAGAGGAAGUGUAAACUCUAACAUAGCCUAUUAGCUAGAAAGCUAACUCCAAAUACAUUUUUGCUAAGAACAACUGUUUAGCUGGUUAAACAAAUGUUAGCCAUGUGUUGCCAAAAAUGUAUGUCCUUGUCAAGAAAGCUUACCAGCAGCACUUGCCGCAUUGGUAGCCUAAUCGUGGGUGCUUUUUCAAAGCCUAUGUCAGAUACUCCAGUGAGCGCAAUUGGCUCCAAUGAGUGUAAUUUGCUCAAUAUUAGGAGUUGAGAAAUAAAGUUGACAUAAUUAGAAAGAUACUCUUAUUUUCAACUGUAUGUAAUUCAACAUUUGUUUAUUCUGUUGUUGCUAGUGAUAUUCAUAAAAACAUUUAAAUAAAAAGCACUUUUUAUUUUUUGGGGGACCCCGUGCAGUACGUUGGACACCUAAGGGGCUGCGGACCCCCGGUUGUAGUAGGCCUUAUUAGAGUACUGCUCUUAUUGUUAGUGCCAUUUCAUAGAACCAUCAGGGGCAGCAGAUAUCAAGCUUUGACAAGAAUUCUGUCAAUUUAUGCCGAUAAAACAGAGAACAUCUCAACCUCUCUCUCCCUCUUUUUCCUGUGUCAAAACGGCUGGUGUGGGUUUAUGGGGGUGGGGUCAUUAGUAGGAAAGUGACAAAAGAAACAAGAGAGAAAGAGGCUGUAACAUAGGAGUUUGUUAAAUUCUCAGUUUGCCUUGGCGAGGAAUUCUCUUAAACCCCUCUGAAAUGAUUUAAAAAUAAAAAUAUAAAUAAAUAACCUGGCUGGCAGUCAGUGGUAAGUGUUCAAGGUGAGAGACAGACAAGAGGAGUGUGAGGUGACAGAAAAGGGAUAGUGAGACGCUUUUAAUGUUAUGACACUUCUUACCGCACUGUCUAAAAAGAAGCCCUGACAUGCAGGAUAGGUCAGUGAUGAUGACAAAAAGAAAAGUAUUUUGCCUGUUCUAUCUUUAGCUGUUGACUACAUCUGAUUUUAAGGUUAUUAUCGCUAUAGAAAAGUUAGGGCACUUGAUGGCAUGAUUGCCUACAUUCCUGUCAAAAGCUUCCCUACAUUGUAACCACUCAUAAUCCAGCAAGCAUUUCAAAAGUAAACACAUUAUUUUAGGUCUUCUCACACAUCUUGUUGUACUACCAGUUGGUAAAUCAAACAUGGAUACAUUAGAUGUACGGAUAUAUAAAGAUUCCAAAUGAUUAUUAAACCCAAUUUAUAUUACUUCAAAAUCAUAUUUGAUCAGUUAUUUCAUGUAAAUUAUAAUCAUUGAUUGAAUCCUGACACCCUCCCUCUGCCCGUCCUCCUCUAGCGCCACCCUGUGGUCCCUGAUUGGAAUGACAAACAGCCCCAGAAGACCUGUGACUGGGUCCCACACAGAAUGGUUUGUGGACAGUUGAGGUGUGCUACUAACAUAUUGUUAUAGUGAUGAUUGGAAUAUUGAGUUGUGAAAAUAUUGAGUGGAAAGUUUACAUGCAACGAUAAGUUAGAGAGAAAACAUCAAGAGGAGAUUUCAAAUGACACCAAAAGGAUCGAAAUGCGGACAUCUAGUGUAUGAUUAUUGGUGAUUCAUGUCUCCUCCCCACCCCUGAGAUGUUCAGGACCAUUCGACGGCAAGGCAAAGUGUGGCGGUCACUAGUUACACCCCUGGACAGGGCAGCAUGGGUAAGGACCAAAAGCAGGAGAACUGACGCCAGCCACUCUCACAUCCUCCCAACUCUUCCAUAGUCUUUCACAGGGAAUCAUAACAUUACACUUCAGUGUGGUACAAGAACGUGAUUAU